CUACAUAUAGUGCUUGAUGGUCGAUCGGAUAUGUCCGGUCUUAAAAGGGAAUCCGGUGAAAAUCCGAAGCGGUCCCGCCACUGUAACAGCUUCUCGAGGCGAACAUUUAAGAAACAAUCUCGUUUUCUACGCCAGUUCGUGAACUGAAGUCAGAUACCUGCCAUUAAGACAACACGGUG
rnacentral:ncRNA from 2 species